GAAGAGGGCAUCUGAUUUUGACGAAAGAUUGAUCGCCUCGGGAUGGGGAUGCGUAGGAUUAGGCAGGCGGCGGGGUAACGGCCCACCGCGCCGACGAUCCUUAGGGGUUCUGAGAGGAAGGUCCCCCACACUGGUACUGAGACACGGACCAGACUCCUACGGGAGGCAGCAGUGAGGAAUAUUGGUCAAUGGGCGCGAGCCUGAACCAGCCAAGUAGCGUGCAGGACGACGGCCCUAUGGGUUGUAAACUGCUUUUAUGCGGGGAUAAAGUGCGGCACGUGUGCCGUUUUGUAGGUACCGCAUGAAUAAGGACCGGCUAAUUCCGUGCCAGCAGCCGCGGUAAUACGGAAGGUCCGGGCGUUAUCCGGAUUUAUUGGGUUUAAAGGGAGCGCAGGCGGCCUUUUAAGCGUGACGUGAAAUGUAGGCGCUCAACGUCUGAAUUGCGUCGCGAACUGUUAGGCUUGAGUAGACGGAAUGUCGGCGGAAUUCGUGGUGUAGCGGUGAAAUGCUUAGAUAUCACGAAGAACUCCGAUUGCGAAGGCAGCUGACAGCAGUUUUACUGACGCUCAUGCUCGAAAGU
rnacentral:rRNA from 1 species